CCCGGCCUGGCCCCAGGGACACCCAUCAACAACUAUCAGCCCCCCCCGGCCCAGAGCAAGAAACACCCCCGCUCCCGCUCCUUCGGUGGAUUCAUCAAGAGGAGACAUAAGGGGGACCAACAGGCGUUGGAGAGGCGGGGUAGACAGAUCUCCCCGGAGAUGGUUGCUGCGGCGAUGGGACGGCUGGGAAAGGAGAACGUCGUCCUGCAGUCGGGGAACGGUCCGGUGACAGUGAAUAAUAGUACUCCAGUCGGGGUCAAGGCCUCUGACAGCAUGGCCCUCAAUAGAGAGAGGGGACUCAAACUAUCAAAGGACUCUCCAUCCAUCUCCAGAAUGUGUUGGUCUCCCUCCCUAGAAACGUCCAUGUAGAGGAUUGGUACUAGCAACACUGGACUUGUUAUUUUUUUGUCAUUUUUUUCUUCUUUCAUCAAGUAAACUAUAUUGUACAUUUCUAAAUCUGUGACGAAUACAACAUUAGUCCCCAGCCAGACAUGGGUUUCAUCCCAAUAAUCUCUUCUUUCUCCUGAAGUGUGCACUUGUUCACUUCCCUCAAUGUGUUUGAAAGGAAAUGACUGGAAUACCCAUAUGGAAACUCCUUCUAGCCCAUGCCAACAUAAUCCAAGACUUUUACAUUGUGUGGGGAGUAGUGAAUGAGUGCACACUUCAGGGGGAGAGAUUAUUGGGACGUAACCCAGGAAAGUACAAGACCAACUCUGUUAAGUGUGGAGUCAGGGACAGGAGGGAGCUUUCUUUGGUCCGUUUGGGGUCUGAGUGCCACUCAUAACUUGAAACAGUUUUGUUAGAUACUUUUACAGUUGACCACUAGCUGAGCCUACAUAGAUACUGUUACAGUUGACCACUAGCUGAGCCUACAUAGAUACUUUUACAGUUGACCACUAGCUGAGCCUACAUAGAUACUUUUACAGUUGACCACUAGCUGAGCCUACAUAGAUACUUUUACAGUUGACCACUAGCUGAGCCUACAUAGAUACUGUUACAGUUGACCACUAGCUGAGCCUACAUAGAUACUGUUACAGUUGACCACUAGCUGAGCCUACAUAGAUACUUUUACAGUUGACCACUAGCUGAGCCUACAUAGAUACUUUUACAGUUGACCACUAGCUGAGCCUACA